rnacentral:tRNA from 1 species
GCCGAUGUAGCUCAAUGGCAGAGCAACGGUUUUGUAAACCGUAGGUUGGAGGUUCGAAUCCUCUCAUCGGCUCCA